UUAUCUUUAUCAAAUUCACACACAUACUUCUAGUUUUUAGAAUAUUAUUUCUGAAAUUUCAGAAGAUUUAAAGUAUAAUCUACCUAGGUAUUACUGUUGAUAUUUAAAAAAUUUAGGUAGGUACCUAUUACAAAAUCGUUUACACAUAAAGCGGAAGGCGGAAGUUAAGGUUCACAAGGUAUCAUCGAUAACUUUUUUUCAAAUGGAUAAUUCAAAAAAACCAAAUAUUUCAAAAAAGAAAAAAGAACAGUUAUCAAAAAAUAUCCUUGAAACUUUAAAAAAAAAAAAGGAAUGUGAGAAAAAAGCAUUAGACAUUGUGAUUGAGUUAAUCGAUGGUGGAUUGGAAGAAGCGGACUUGUUAAAUAAGCUGCAUUCAAUUAAUCCUUCCUACUAUGAAGAUGUAGUAGAAGAAAGAUUUAUAUUAAAACAAUGUGGAUAUGUUAUGUGUAAAAAGAAGUUAGAGUAUAUACCAAAUCAAAAGUACAAGAUAUCAUUAGCCCUCAAGAAAGUGUAUGAUAUCUCAGAAAGGAAGAAAUUUUGCUCCAAUAUAUGCUUUAAAAGUUCAAAAUAUUUACAAAAUCAAUUACUUACCACACCAUUGUGGUUACGCGAAAAAGAUGCAGUACCAACAUUUAAAUUAUUGAACAUACAUACAGAGGAGGAUAUUGCAUCCCAUUUACACACCAAACCUGAUGGUCACACAAAAUCAUCAACACCAUUAAUUACUAUUCCUACACCUAGUGAUACAAAGAGAACGCAACUGGGCAGCGACCAAAAUGUGUCCGAGUUGAUGCAUCCCCUACCAAUUCCACAUACUGACAACCCGUUUGAUCAUGGUAGUUAACCGUCAGCAACAUUAUACAAAAUACAAAGUGGGGGAAACAGUAACUCGGAAUGGUUGCUGCCUUCAAUCUGCAUGCGAUAAAUGAUUGCGAUCCCUCAUGGGCCAAAGUAUACAUUCUUAAUUAUCUUCUCCAAAUACUACGAUAAAUUAACAAGAAUAUGAAGUGCGGUGAUGAAGUCAUAAUGCUUCUUAAGUAUUUCAUAUAACAAGACUGAUCUUGAAGAACAACUUAACAACUUAAGUUCUCUUAACAUUAAAAACUAAUAUUUAAAAAUCAAUUAUUGGAAAAGAAUCAACUCCAACUACCAGCAGAUAAUCAAUGACAUCAGUAUAUAUAUUAAAAAUAAAAAAACUCUUUAUUGUUAAUUAUAUUAUAUUUUAAUGUCUCAUAAAAUGAACUUUUCCAAUUAUAACAUGUAAAUUUCAGCACAAAAAAAUGAAGAAAAAGACAAUAUUACUGUGAUCUUUACAAAACAAGAAUACAAACAUCAAAAAGUAUCAAAAUUAGAGUAAGAAGAAUAAAUGUAUCAGAAAAUCUUGGUGUUAAUUAAAUGUACAUAUUAACUUCUCAUUAAACAUAAUAUAAUGUCUACCUUCAAUGAAAUAAU
rnacentral:misc_RNA from 1 species